CCUACGGGAGGCAGCAGUGGGGAAUAUUGCACAAUGGGGGAAACCCUGAUGCAGCGACGCCGCGUGAGUGAAGAAGUAUUUCGGUAUGUAAAGCUCUAUCAGCAGGGAAGAAGAACGACGGUACCUGACUCCGACGCCCCGGCUAACCACGUGCCAGCAGCCGCGGUAAGACGGAGGGGGCAAGCGUUAUCCGGAUUUACUGGGUGUAAAGGGAGCGUAGACGGCUGUGCAAGUCUGAAGUGAAAGCCCAGGGCUCAACCCUGGGACUGCUUUGGAAACUGUGGAGCUAGAGUGCUGGAGAGGUAAGUGGAAUUCCUAGUGUAGCGGUGAAAUGCGUAGAUAUUAGGAGGAACACCAGUGGCGAAGGCGGCUUACUGGACAGUAACUGACGUUGAGGCUCGAAAGCGUGGGGAGCAAACAGGAUUAGAUACCCUAGUAGUC
rnacentral:rRNA from 1 species